AUUGAACGCUAGCGGCAUGCCUUACACAUGCAAGUCGAACGGAGUGGCGAACGGGUGAGUAAUGUAUCGGACCGUGCCCCGUAGCGGGGGAUAACGACGCGAAAGCAUAGCUAAUACCGCCUACUAUUGGAGAGGCCUAGAUCGGAUUAGCGAGUUGGUGGGGUAAAGGCCCACCAAGGCGACGAUCCGUAGCUGGUUGGAGAGGACGACCAGCACCACGGGGACUGAGACACGGCCCAGACUCCUACGGUAGGCAGCAGUGGGGAAUUUUGGACAAUGGGGGAAACCCUGAUCCAGCCAGCCCGCGUGUGCGAUGAAGGCCUUCGGGUUGUAAAGCACUUUUGGCAGGAAAGCGGUACCUGCAGAAUAAGCACCGGCUAACUACGUGCCAGCAGCCGCGGUAAUAC
rnacentral:rRNA from 1 species